rnacentral:lncRNA from 1 species
CUGAUACUAGACCUUCAGACUUUCCUAUCAAGGGCCAUGUCCUCAGAAACCCGCAUUCUAGCCAUAUCAUGCCUAAUCACCUCUCCCCAAUACCUCUUAGGCCUCCCUCUGCCUUGCCGAACGCCGACCAUCGUCAGCCGCUCACAACUCCUCACCGAGGCAUCAUGACUUCUCCUCCGCAUAUGCCCGAACCACCUCAGCUCGCUUCUCGCAUCUUCUCAUCCACCGGGGCCACCCCCACCUUCUCUCGAAUAACUUCAUUCUUAAUCUUAUCUAACCUGGUGAGCCCGCACAUCCNNN